ensembl:processed_transcript
UGCUUCUGCUGUUUUUGUUUACUGACAGUAAAUUACGACAGUGGCAGGAUUGUAUCAGCGAUGGUGGGAGAUUCGGUCUUUCUACACACUGAUGUUAUCGAAAUGCUGAAUUACGAUGUGAUACGAUGGAAGUUUGGACCUCAGAAUGCUCUUAUAGCUGAAAUCAAUAAACUCGAGAGAUCCUUCCGUACGCUGGAUGGUGAUGACAUAAGAUUUAAAGACAGGCUGGAGCUGAGUGAUCAGACUGGAGAUCUGACCAUUACAGACACCAGAGCUACAGACUCCGGACUUUAUAAAGCAUUGAUCAUAACAAAUCAAACAUGUGUUAAGAAAUGUAAUUUCAGUGUUGAAAUCUAUAAUCAU